UACGUAGGGCGCAAGCGUGUCCGGAAUUAUUGGGCGUAAAGAGCUCGUAGGCGGUUUGUCGCGUCUGCUGUGAAAACCUAAGGCUCAACCUUGGGCUUGCAGUGGGUACGGGCAGACUAGAGUGCGGGUAGGGGUGACUGGAAUUCCUGGUGUAGCGGUGGAAUGCGCAGAUAUCAGGAGGAACACCGAUGGCGAAGGCAGGUCACUGGGCCGCAACUGACGCUGGAGGAG
rnacentral:rRNA from 1 species